rnacentral:rRNA from 1 species
GAUGAACGCUGGCGGCGUGCCUAAUACAUGCAAGUCGAGCGAACGGACGAGAAGCUUGCUUCUCUGAUGUUAGCGGCGGACGGGUGAGUAACACGUGGAUAACCUACCUAUAAGACUGGGAUAACUUCGGGAAACCGGAGCUAAUACCGGAUAAUAUUUUGAACCGCAUGGUUCAAAAGUGAAAGACGGUCUUGCUGUCACUUAUAGAUGGAUCCGCGCUGCAUUAGCUAGUUGGUAAGGUAACGGCUUACCAAGGCAACGAUGCAUAGCCGACCCGAGAGGGUGGUCAGCCCCGCUGGAACUGUGCCAAGGACCAGACACGCAAGGGAGGCAGCAGUAGCGAGUCUGCCAGGAUGGGAGAAAAGCUGCAGGCGCCACGCCGCGUGAGUGAUGAGGGUCUUCGGCUCGUAAAACUCUGUUAUUGGGGAAGAAAAUAUGUGUAAGUACACGUGCAAAUCUUGACGGUACCUACUCAGAAAGCAACGGCUAACUACGUG